CACGUCUCCAACCAGUCUGAGAACCGAUACGGAAUCCCAAAGAGAGAAGCGCCGUUGGCUUGCGCGUGAGUCCACACGUAACUUCCACGCGUAGGAUAUUCCUUACUUCGAUAGACGGGCAUCGCUUAAUCACGCUCAAAUAUGAUUCAAGAAUGAGAGAGAGAGAGAGAGAGAGAGAAAGAGAGAAAAAAGGCAAGCAAGGUUUCUAUAGGCGUUAAGGAUUCUAUCUAUCGGCUUCUUCCUCUUUCAGGAUCAACCUGAAUCUUGUUGCUGCGAGCUGCAACCAAGAAAAAAAGAAAGAAAGAAAAUAAAAAGGAAAGAAGAAGAAAAAAAAACAAAAAAGGUCGAGUUUCGGGUUCGACAAGUGGAUUCGACUCGGAGAGCGGCAUUCGAAUCAAUUUUACGCCUACCGACGAAAUGUUAAUUUAAUUAUCUAGGCACACGAAGAUAUCUCCAAGUAUAAGCAUGGAAAUUUAUUUAAAAGUCAUCCUCCGAUUGUAUUAUCCUAUAUUGGUAACUAUAUAUACGUCAUUAUGAUCGUCGCGCGAACUUUUUUUUUCCUUCUUCUUCUUUUUCUUUUUUUCUCUCUCUCUCUCUCUCCCUUACCUCUUUCAAUGUGCAUCCCUGACGUAACGAUAUAGAAUCACCUUUUAAAAUAAUUCGACGUCUGUGAAACUUGGCAAAAGGUGAUCCUGAUUCACGCUAACCCCAUACCCUUUAUCCUUGGAAUGACGCGCUAAUGCGUCAUCGGUAGACACAGCCACCUUCCUAUCCCUUGAAUCCCUACACGGGAUUCACGUGGCGCAUUGCCAUAGGCUGAUUCGUAGUCGGGUCGCAUUUUUGCAGUGGUGAGAGGGAGACGGUAUUAUCGAUCGAAGGGGGAUGAACAGUCUCGGCAAGAUACGGAGUAACGUUUGCUCGUGUAAUGUGAAAAUGUUUCCGUAAGAAAAAAAAUAUUCCAUCACGUGGAAUAUUGAAAAAAAUUAUUCCAACGAGAUGCGUCAGAGGAAUGGGGUUAGGGGUUAAGGGUAGACGGAUAUCGCUGGAGUAUACACGAUACGCAAAUUUUCGAAUUAAAAAAAGAAAAAAAAGCAAAAGAGAAAAUUUGCAAUAUAGACUUUGCAAUACGAUAAUUUUUUUUUCUUUCUCUCUCUCUCUCUCUCUCUCUCUCUUUUUUCCUUCCCUUUCUUUCUUCCUUUUAUCUAUCUGUUCGAGAUCUAUAUGAACUAGUAUCUCGUUCGAGUGCUCUCAUCAUCGUCAUGAUUUACGUUUCCUUUUCUCAUACGCCUCUGUACUUUUCCAUUCCAGAUCGUUCGAGUCGAUACCCACCUCUAUUCUUUCUAUCUACCUACCUACCUACCUACCUACCUACCUGUGUACAAAUGCACCUUGGACUUUUAACCUUGGAUGUGAUCGGAAAAAAUGUCCGAUGGAAGUCGGCGAUGCUUUCGUGAGAGACGGUUCUCGAAAACACGAUGAACAAAUGCGAUCAUUGUCCGAUUGACUAUCACGAAGUUCUUUUCUUUCAUCAACGUCACGCGAACCAAAUGAAAAAAUCGAUCUUACGAGUAACGUAUUGGAUUAUUACGUCGAAACACGCUCAUUCUUUUUUCCCGUGUCUCAUUAAUUCGCCGAUUAUAUUCGGUCUUUAUCAAAAUCGCGUCAUUAUAUUUUAUCGUUUCUCCACGUGCCGUUUCUCUCAAUGGAAAAAAAAAAAUUACGACAUGUUUCGUGGGAAAAAAAACACACACACACACACAGAAGAAAGAGAGAAAAAGGAGAAAAAUAAAAUGAAGAAAAAGAAAGAAAGAAAGAAAAAAGCUCAAUUUAGAUUAUUACUCUACGUAAGUAAGUAAUUUACUUAGAGGGAUAUAAUAAUAACGGCGCGUGUAUCCUCGAGAUUUACUACUUUACGUAGCAAACGAAUAUUCGAUGAACGCGUGCAAAUCCUCCGGAUAGAAUUAUGCUACGAGAUGUCGAGAAUCGAUUAAGAAAUCGAUCCCCCACGGUAUAAAACGACUUCCGACGAUUUCUCCGGAGGAUUCUAUAUCUCGAUGUAUUCCGAACUCCGAUAUUUGAUUGUUGUUGUUAUACCAAUAUUUUAAGUGUUAAGUAUAUAAUGUCAUAAAAAUAUUAUCAUCAUAUGGGAGAUAAUUUUCUUUGCAUUACUUCAUACGAUUUUAUAUUCAAAAUAUUUUUUAAUGUAGAUUGGUAUAUCAAUUACGACGAAGAGAUAUAGCGAAAUAAAUAAUAAUACGCGUAUGCGAAUAAAUUCUUGCAUGUUAUUCAUUAACAUUGAAGAUAGAUAUAAGUGUUAUAUGAUUUGAUUUUAAGUGAUAAAUAUAACGUGAUGAAAUAUUUUAUCUGAAAAAUAUUUGUUGACAUAAAUUGGUAUAUCUAUUACCCCGAAGAGUUACAACGAAAUAAGAACGAAUACUAGAAUGCGUCUUAUUCGUAUUAGUUAUUUUAAGUGUUAAAUAUAUAACGUUAUAAAAUAUAUUAUUAUCGUUACAGACGAUUAUUUUCUUUGCUUUACUUCGUAAGAUUUUAUAUUAAAAAUAUUUUUUGAUAAAGACUGGUAUAUCAAUUACGACGAAGUUAUAUAGCGAAAUAAGAAAGAAUACGCGUAUGCGAGUAAAUUUAUGCGUUUUAUUCAUUAAGAAAAAGAUAGACUGUUAGUUAUUUUAAGUGUUAAAUAUAUAACGUCAUAAAAAUAUUAUUAUCGUCACACGCGAUUAUUUUCUUUGCUUUAAUUCGUACGAUUUUAUAUUAAAAAUAUUUUUUGAUAGUGACUGGUAUAUCAAUUACGACGAAGAUAUAUAGCGAAAUAAGAAAGAAUACGCGUAUGCGAGUAAAUUUAUGCGUUUUAUUCAUUAAGAAAAAGAUAGAGUGUUAGUUAUUUUAAGUGUUAAAUAUAUAACGUCAUAAAAAUAUUAUUAUCGUCAUAAGCGAUAAUUUUCUUCGCUUAAGCGAACACUGUUUUAUAUUUAAAAUACUUUUUAAUAUAGAUAGAUAUAUCAAUUAUGACGAAGAGAUAUAGCGAAAUAAGAAAGAAUACGCGUAUGCGACUAAAUUCAUGCGUUUUAUUCAUUAAGAAAAAGAGAGAAAGAGAGAGAGAGAAAAAGAGAAAGUGAGAGACCUCGCGCCCUCUGCUUUAUCUUUCCCUCUCGUUCGUAAUCAAUAAAACAAUUUUCAACGAUUUCUCCAGAGUAUGUUGUAUCUCGAUACGUUCGAUCUUCGAUCGAUGUUGUUAUUAUCCCAAUAAUUUAAGUAAUACGUUUAACGUCAUCAAAACAUUAUUAUCAUAAGCGAUAUUAUUUUCUUUACUUUAUUUCAUACGAUUUUAUAUCCAAAAUAUUUUUUUGAUAUAGAUUGUUAUAUCAAUUACGACGAAAAGAUACAGCGGAAUAAUUAAGCAUACGCGUAUGCGACUAAAUUCUUCCGUUUUAUUCAUUAAGGAAAAUAGACAAAAAGAGAGAGAGAGAGAGAGAGAGAGAGAGAGAGAGAA